rnacentral:rRNA from 1 species
AGAGUUUGAUCCUGGCUCAGAUUGAACGCUGGCGGCAGGCUUAACACAUGCAAGUCGAACGAUGAUUAUCUAGCUUGCUAGAUAUGAUUAGUGGCGGACGGGUGAGUAACAUUUAGGAAUCUGCCUAGUAGUGGGGGAUAGCUCGGGGAAACUCGAAUUAAUACCGCAUACGACCUACGGGUGAAAGGGGGCGCAAGCUCUUGCUAUUAGAUGAGCCUAAAUCAGAUUAGCUAGUUGGUGGGGUAAAGGCCCACCAAGGCGACGAUCUGUAACUGGUCUGAGAGGAUGAUCAGUCACACCGGAACUGAGACACGGUCCGGACUCCUACGGGAGGCAGCAGUGGGGAAUAUUGGACAAUGGGGGCAACCCUGAUCCAGCCAUGCCGCGUGUGUGAAGAAGGCCUUUUGGUUGUAAAGCACUUUAAGCAGGGAGGAGAGGCUAAUGGUUAAUACCCAUUAGAUUAGACGUUACCUGCAGAAUAAGCACCGGCUAACUCUGUGCCAGCAGCCGCGGUAAUACAGAGGGUGCGAGCGUUAAUCGGAAUUACUGGGCGUAAAGCGAGUGUAGGUGGCUCAUUAAGUCACAUGUGAAAUCCCCGGGCUUAACCUGGGAACUGCAUGUGAUACUGGUGGUGCUAGAAUAUGUGAGAGGGAAGUAGAAUUCCCAGGUGUAGCGGUGAAAUGCGUAGAGAUCUGGAGGAAUACCGAUGGCGAAGGCAGCUUCCUGGCAUAAUAUUGACACUGAGAUUUCGAAAGCGUGGGUAGCAAACAGGAUUUAGAUACCCUGGUUAGUCCACGCCGUAAACGAUGUCUACUAGCCGGUUGGGGUCCUUGAGACUUUAGUGGCGCAGUUAACGGCGAUUAAGUAGACCCGCCUGGGGAGUACGGGCCGCCAGGGUUAAAACUCAAAUGAAUUGACGG